rnacentral:lncRNA from 1 species
AAUACUUGCAGUGAGAGAUUUUGUACAAGCUGACGAACCAAGAGGAUCAACACAAUUCCCACUGCAAAUUUGGUCAGACCCAAAACUAACAUGUAGGUGGUGAGUGGUGGGAUGUUCUGAAUAACAGGGAGAGAUUCAGCGGGCUUGGAUACAAGCUGGAAGAAAUGGUUGAUCCAGAAUCCUAUGGUCACUCCAGCCCCGGCAGCCAGAAUGGUGGUGGUGUCCGCCCGGGUUGGGCUGUAGUAAUCAGAAACAGGGUAAUUGUAACACAGGAAGAAUGGCACAACUAUGACACACACGGGGAAGAGGGGGCUGGCCGAGUCCAGGCAGUCGAUGAAGGUCCAGGCAGGGUAGGUGAGGACGAUGAGGAGUGCGGUGAUCAGGACGCCACCCAGCACAUCCUUUGGGAAGGAGAGAAAAGAACAGUGUGAACCAAUGAGUGUUUCCUUGUAUACAGGUAUAAUUUGAAUCAAGUAUGGCUAAUUUGAUAUUUAAAACACAAUUUUUGCAUUGUUUUAUUUUACAGUACAUGUUCAAAGAAAGUGUAAAGUUCUAAAACUUUGAAGUGAAAAUACGAAAAAAUGCUUCCAACAACCAUACUACUCAUGUUACGUAUCUUCUUUCACCUUUUUUACCUUUUGGAAUAAAUUCUGUAUUUGUUUUCUUAAUGAA